GACGAACGCUGGCGGCGUGCUUAACACAUGCAAGUCGUACGGUAAGGCCCUUUCGGGGGUACACGAGUGGCGAACGGGUGAGUAACACGUGAGUAACCUGCCCACAACUUUGGGAUAACGCUAGGAAACUGGUGCUAAUACUGGAUAUGUGCUCCUGCUGCAUGGUGGGGGUUGGAAAGCUCCGGCGGUUGUGGAUGGACUCGCGGCCUAUCAGCUUGUUGGUGGGGUAGUGGCCUACCAAGGCGGCGACGGGUAGCCGGCCUGAGAGGGUGACCGGCCACAUUGGGACUGAGAUACGGCCCAGACUCCUACGGGAGGCAGCAGUGGGGAAUAUUGCACAAUGGGCGCAAGCCUGAUGCAGCAACGCCGCGUGCGGGAUAACGGCCUUCGGGUUGUAAACCGCUUUCAGCAGGGACGAAGCUUUUUGUGACGGUACCUGCAGAAGAAGCACCGGCUAACUACGU
rnacentral:rRNA from 1 species